rnacentral:rRNA from 1 species
UACGUAGGCAGCGAGCGUUGUUCGGAGUUACUGGGCGUAAAGGGUGUGUAGGCGGUUUCUUAAGCGUGUGGUGAAAGCCCGGGGCUCAACUCCGGGUCGGCCGUGCGAACUGGGGGACUGGAGCUUGUCAGAGGCAGGCGGAAUUCCGGGUGUAGCGGUGGAAUGCGUAGAGAUCCGGAGGAACACCAGUGGCGAAGGCGACACGCUGGGCCGUACCUGACACUGAUGCGCGACAGCAUGGGGAGCAAACAGG